UUAUCUUCAGGGCAGGGUGUGAUUCCCGACCGGCGGUAAAAGUCCGCGAAGACCUUUGGUCUUGAUUUGGUGCAACUCCAAAACCGACAGUAUAGUCUGGAUGGAAGAAGAGG
rnacentral:ncRNA from 1 species